CAAUAGCGUAUAUUAAAGUUGUUGCAGUUAAAAAGCUCGUAGUUGGAUUUCUGGUAGGAGUGACCGUUCCGAACUUGAUUGUUCGUGUAUUGUGUUUUCUCCAGCCAUCCUUGUGGAGAACUUUUCUUGCAUUAAUUUGUAGGGAUUGGGACCCGCAUCGUUUACUGUGAAAAAAUUAGAGUGUUUAAAGCAGGCAAUCGCUUGAAUACAUUAGCAUGGAAUAAUAAGAUAGGACUUUGGUACUAUUUUGUUGGUUUGCAUACCAAAUUAAUGAUCAACAGGAACAGGUUGAGGAUAUUCGUAUGAACAUGUCAGAGGUGAAAUUCUUGGAUUUUGAUCAGACGAACUACUGCGAAAGCAUUUAUCAAGGAUGUUUUCAUUAA
rnacentral:rRNA from 1 species